AGCUUUCUGAGUGGCUGCAUCAGAGAAUGUUUUAAAUACUUGGAAGAUACAGUAGCAGACAUAUGUUUCUGAAGAUGGAAAUAUUCCUGAAAAAGGGUGGAAGCAGCUGCUGGCAGUAUUGCUGCGGGAUGUUUCUUGUAUGGCUUGUAAAAUGGAACAUCUAGUUUUUCUUCAAAUAUAUUCUGGUUCUGCAAUCAGAAUCUUUGAGUCCACUCCAAAGUUACUUCAGGACUAAUUAUACAUUAAAUAUAUGUGUUUGCAGUUAAUAAGCUUAGAUACUAGGGGAAAAAUCAGUGGAAAAGAUUAUACCACAGAUAAUUAAUAAAAAUCAAUUAAUUUGUUAAUGAGUACUCUGCCAGUACCCAAGGUGGUAGAAACCAGCUGGGGGGGAAAGAAGUCAGUAUCCCUGAAUAGGACAUUGAGAAUGCCUGAGUCCUGCUGAGAAUUUGAAAGGAAAUAACUACAAGAGGCAGCACUACUUGGGUUAAAACUGACUAAAUUUCCUCUUGAGAUUGCAGCUCCUCUAACUAAUAAAUCUGGUAAAAAAGUGA